AGAGUUUGAUUCUGGCUCAGAACGAACGCUGGCGGCGCGUCUUAAACAUGCAAGUCGAACGAUCUGUAGCAAUACAGGGAGUGGCGGACGGGUGAGGAACACGUAGGAAUCUACCUAGAAGAGCGGGACAACUUUGGGAAACCGGGGCUAAUACCGCAUAGUACAGAGAUGUUAAAGGGCUAGCAAUAGUCGCUUCUAGAUGAGCCUGCGGUCUAUCAGCUUGUUGGUGAGGUAAUGGCUCACCAAGGCUACGACGGAUAGCCGGUCUGAGAGGAUGAUCGGCCACACUGGCACUGAGACACGGGCCAGACUCCUACGGGAGGCAGCAGUUAAGAAUCUUGCGCAAUGGGGGAAACCCUGACGCAGCGACGCCGCGUGAAGGAUGAAGGCUUUCGGGUUGUAAACUUCGGUAGACUGGGAAGAAGAACUACGUUCGUUGAGGGCGUAGAGUGACGGUACCAGUCUGAAGCCCCGGCUAAUUACGUGCCAGCAGCCGCGGUAAUACGUAUGGGGCAAGCGUUGUUCGGAAUUAUUGGGCGUAAAGGGCUCGCAGGUGGUUUGUUAAGUUGGUGGUUUAAUCUCUGGGCUCAACCCAGAGUCAGCCUCCAAAACUGGCGAACUUGAGUACGAUAGGGGAUAGCGGAAUUCUCGGUGUAGCGGUGGAAUGCGUAGAUAUCGAGAGGAACACCAAUGGCGAAGGCAGCUAUCUGGAUCGUAACUGACACUCAUGAGCGAAAGUGCGGGGAGCAAACAGGAUUAGAUACCCUGGUAGUCCGCACCGUAAACGUUGUAUACUAGUUGUUGGUGGUUUCAACGCCAUCAGUGACGUCGCUAACGCAUUAAGUAUACCGCCUGGGGAGUAUGCUCGCAAGGGUGAAACUCAAAGAAAUUGACGGGGGCCCGCACAAGCGGUGGAGCAUGUGGUUUAAUU
rnacentral:rRNA from 1 species